UACGGAGGAUGCAAGCGUUAUCCGGAAUUAUUGGGCGUAAAGCGUCCGCAGGCGGUUCUUUAAGUCAGGGGUGAAAGCCCAGAGCUCAACUCUGGAAUUGCCUUUGAAACUAGAGAACUUGGGUACGGGAGAGGUGAGUGGAAUUCCGAGUGUAGAGGUGAAAUUCGUAGAUAUUCGGAAGAACACCAGUGGCGAAGGCGGCUCACUGGCCCGUUACCGACGCUCAGGCGCGACAGCGUGGGGAGCAAACAGG
rnacentral:rRNA from 1 species